UUUGGCAGGCCACCAGAGGAAGUGAAUCCCUGAGACUCUCCUGAUGCAAGACGAGCAAAGAAAAGGAAGCAGGCAAGGAGGGAAAAAGCAAUGGCAACAAAUACUGGUGAUCUCUUACAUGGGCAAGAUUGCAAAAUAGGAAGAGACCAAGGAGAAAGACAAACCACUUCUUUAAAGGUGAUGACUUCAUUUUGGGAGCAGACCCACCUCGACACCCAAGCGCCACGU